AGCAACAGCCUAAAACUCAAAGGACUUGGCGGUGCUUUACAUCCCUCUAGAGGAGCCGGUUCCAUAAUCGAUAAACCCCGAUAAACCCCACCAUCCCUUGCUAAUUCAGCCUAUAUACCGCCAUCUUCAGAAA
rnacentral:rRNA from 1 species